GGAGAGGUGGCCGAGCGGCUGAAGGCGACGGUUUGCUAAACCGUUAAACGGGAAAUCCCGUUUCGAGGGUUCGAAUCCCUCUCUCUCCGCCA
rnacentral:tRNA from 1 species